rnacentral:lncRNA from 1 species
UUUGAUGACCAUAAAUCAUUUCCCAUUAACCCUUUGAUGAUGAUAUUCCCUAAUUGAUUCUUUUUCAUCAAUCCUUUGAUGAUGUCACUCCACAUGAAGUCUUUUCCGUCAACCUUUUGACGAUAUCAAAUUCUAUCUUUCAUCAAUCCUUUGAUGAUGAUAUUCCCCAACCAUCUCUCAUUGGAGACAAAAACAAAACCCUAUAAAAAAUCCUAGUACUC